ensembl:lncRNA
GAGGUGGGCCCUGAUCUAGUACAACUGUUGUUCUCAUAAAAAGAGGAAAUUUGGAAACACAUAUAUACACAUAGAGAACACCAUGUGAUGAGGAUGGCAGAGAUAUGAAUAAAGCACCUACAAGCCACAGAAUGCCACCAGUUGCCAGCAAGCCACCAGAAGCAGGGCAAAGGUAAAGAAACAUUCUCUCAUACAACGCACAGAAGGACUCAACCCUGUCAAAACCUUGAUCUUCAAUUUCAACUCUCCAGAAAUGGGCAAAGACAGGAUGCGUGUUCCCUUCGCAAGAGAACACACUGAGCACUGGACCUGGCCCGCAGGAAGCCCUUGGAAGGGGUGAGCUGUUUGUAUUCCACCUUGGGGUCUCCAGCAGCCUUUCUGAUACCCAGGAGCAGUUCUGUCUACUGAGAUAGCUUGGAAGCAAUGAUGGUCUUCUAGCAAUGGAGAUACCCAGUGUCUGUGUUUGGUUCCUAGUAAAAGGAACAAGGAAUCCUUGGAGAAAUACCUGAUUGAAUGGCUAGGGCAGAGAAAAAUACAAGAUGAGCCUGAAGUUAUGUACCAAGGCUGGUUCCUCAGUUGUUACAAAUGUACCAUGACAAUAUAAAUUGUUCACAAUGGACAAAAUUGGGAACAAGAUAUAUGGAAGUCUCUGCACUGUUUGCAACUUUUCUGUAAAUCUAAAAUUAUUUUAAAAUAAAAUUUUUAUUCUUUAUAAAGAC